UCCUUAGCAGUCCAGAUGGUAGAAUACAGGGAUGAAAUUAACCCAGUUCUUGGCACAGGACCAUUGAUGCAUAAUUUCAAUGUUAUAGAAGGAAAUCAGGAAUUACUGGUGUUUGUGCAGCCACAUUUAAGGGCCCUUCAGCUCUUUGUUUUGUUUUAUGCCUACUAUGGCGAUGUCUACUCUUCUGCUUUUCUUUUUCCCCAUCUCCAAUUUCAUCAGAAUUCUUUUUCUCUGGACUUUUCCUGCUUUUCUCUUUGCCAUGGCUCCGGUGUUUGCUUCUUCGUGAACUUGGAUUUCCAAGAUCAGGCUUUUCUACACCUAAAAUUUCUCUCGAUUCAGGAAGAUCAACAUUCAGUUUCUCCUUCCCUUUUCUUAUACUAGAUGAUUUAUCAGAUAUAAUGCUUUGUGACGAAGCAGUUUUGGCUACAUUACCUAAAAGAAUAUCUCGAACAGCA
rnacentral:misc_RNA from 1 species